UUUGUGUUAGUGUGGUUAGUGAUUGCUCUGUUAUUCAAAUAUUUAGUUUUUGUGUAAGAAAUUUUGAUGAAGCCGUCGUACAAAAGGAUCCUUUUUUGUGGCCAAUUUUUUUUACUGAUAGGGAUCGUCAGAAUUAUACAGACAAAGGAUACAUUUUUUUUCAAAAUAAAAAUGGAAGAAUAUCUUGCAUCGAAGCGAGAUUAUGCUCAACAAAGUAGAUAUUUUUCUUCCAAACAUUUUUUUAUGACUCUCAAAAAUGGAGAAAAGCUAGAACGAAAGUGUACUCCGAAUCGACUGGUAUAUUUCCUAAAAUGAUUAAUGUCUUAAUAAGAAAACUGAUUUAAACGAACUUAAUGUAAUUUAUGCAUAUCUUUUAGAUUUUGAGAAAACAAAUUUUAUAAAAAUCCAACGCUAUUAACAACCAAUUAACCUCACCUAACAUUUAAAUUUCAACUUCACUCAUAUAGACCUAACCUAUAAAAUCAAAUGUCAUUCAUAUCUAACCAAUAAAUAUUCGGCUAUAUUCAUAACGACCUAACCUAUUGAAAUUUCAUGUUAUCCAUAAAUUAACCAAUCAAUAUUGAACAUCAUUCACUACAACUUCUUCUUAUCUAACCAAUUAAAAAUCAAUAAAAAUUCCUAUAGUAACCAGAAGCGAUAUUUCAAUUAAUAAAUAUUUCUAUCAACGUCAAUUUGAAUAUUGAGUUUUGGAACCUAUGAAUUUAAAAUUUUCACAAGAAUUAAUACAAUUUAAAACCACCUAAAAUCUUAAUAAAUUAUUGUGAGAGAAAAAUUUUUUUAUUUUCAUUCUUUUAUACAUAUUUCUUUUAUUGUAUUUGACCAUAAUUUCAUUCCCAAAUGAUUAAAUGAUUAAUACAUACUGGUAAGUAUUCGAAAGCUCGGGAAAUAUAUUCAAGUUAAUCCAA